rnacentral:rRNA from 1 species
AUUGAACGCUGGCGGCAGGCUUAACACAUGCAAGUCGAGCGGAGAUGAGGUGCUUGCACCUUAUCUUAGCGGCGGACGGGUGAGUAAUGCUUAGGAAUCUGCCUAUUAGUGGGGGACAACAUUCCGAAAGGAAUGCUAAUACCGCAUACGCCCUACGGGGGAAAGCAGGGGAUCUUCGGACCUUGCGCUAAUAGACGAGCCUAAGUCGGAUUAGCUAGUUGGUGGGGUAAAGGCGUACCAAGGCGACGAUCUGUAGCGGGUCUGAGAGGAUGAUCCGCCACACUGGGACUGAGACACGGCCCAGACUCCUACGGGAGGCAGCAGUGGGGAAUAUUGGACAAUGGGCGGAAGCCUGAUCCAGCCAUGCCGCGUGUGUGAAGAAGGCCUUUUGGUUGUAAAGCACUUUAAGCGAGGAGGAGGCUACCUGGAUUAAUACUCUAGGAUAGUGGACGUUACUCGCAGAAUAAGCACCGGCUAACUCUGUGCCAGCCGCCGCCGUAAUAC